AGUGAACGCUGGCGGUAGGCCUAACACAUGCAAGUCGAACGGCAGCACAGUAAGAGCUUGCUCUUACGGGUGGCGAGUGGCGGACGGGUGAGGAAUACAUCGGAAUCUACUUUUUCGUGGGGGAUAACGUAGGGAAACUUACGCUAAUACCGCAUACGACCUACGGGUGAAAGCAGGGGAUCUUCGGACCUUGCGCGAUUGAAUGAGCCGAUGUCGGAUUAGCUAGUUGGCGGGGUAAAGGCCUACCAAGGCGACGAUCCGUAGCUGGUCUGAGAGGAUGAUCAGCCACACUGGAACUGAGACACGGUCCAGACUCCUACGGGAGGCAGCAGUGGGGAAUAUUGGACAAUGGGCGCAAGCCUGAUCCAGCCAUACCGCGUGGGUGAAGAAGGCCUUCGGGUUGUAAAGCCCUUUUGUUGGGAAAGAAAAGCAGCAGGUUAAUACCCCGCUGUUCUGACGGUACCCAAAGAAUAAGCAUCGGCUAACUUCGUG
rnacentral:rRNA from 1 species